rnacentral:rRNA from 1 species
AAGAUCUUUUAAAAAAAAUUAUGCUGUUAUUCCCCUAAGGUAAUUAAUUUUUUAUUUAAUAAUAUUGAGAUAAAUUUUUCAUAUAUUUUUGUUUUUAAAAUAAAAAAUUUAUUUAAUUUAAAAAUUAACCCCCAAUUAAAUUUAUAAAUUUAAAUUAAAUCCAAAUUUUAAAUUAAACUUAUAAAUUAAAUUCUAUAGGGUCUUGUCGUCUAUUAAAUAUAUUUAAGUUUUUUUACUUAAAUAAUAAAUUUAAUUUUUUUUUUAUUGAAAUAGUCUAUAUUUUAUGUAAUCAUUCAUACAAGUUUUUAAUUAAAAAACAAAUUAUUAUGCUACCUUUGUACAGUUUAUUUA